GAUGAACGCUGGCGGCGUGCCUAAUACAUGCAAGUCGAGCGAACAGAUAAGGAUCUUGCUCCUGUGACGGUAUCGGCGGACGGGUGAGUAACACGUGGGUAACCUAUCUAUAAGACUGGAAUAACUCCGGGAAACCGGGGCUAAGGCCGGAUAACAGAUUGAACCGCAGGGUUCUACAGUGAGAGGCGGCUUUUCUGUUACUUAUAGAUGGACCGGCGCCGGAUUAUCUAGUUGGUGGGGGAAUGGCUGACCAAGGCAACGAUCGGUACCAGGCGCCAGAGGGUGAGCGGCCACAGUGGAACUGAGACACGGUCAAGACUCCUACGGGAGGCAGCAGUAGGGAAUCUUCAGCAAUGGGCGAAAGCGUGAGGGAGAAACGCCGCGUGAGUGAUGAAGGUCUCCGGAUCGUAAAACUCUGUUACUAGGGAAGACCAAAUGCGUAAGUAACUGUGAGCGUCUUGACGGUACCUAAUCAGAAAGCAACGGCUAACUACGUG
rnacentral:rRNA from 1 species